GGUAAUACGGAGGGAGCGAACGUUGAUCGGAAUUACUGGGAGUAAAGAGCAUGCAGGUGGUUUAUUAAGUCAGAUGUGAAAGCCCGGGGCUCAACCUCGGAAUAGCAUUUGAAAUUGGCAGACUAGAGUACUGUAGAGGGGGGUAGAAUUCCAGGUGUAGCGGUGAAAUGCGUAGAGAUCUGAAGGAAUACCGGUGGCGAAGGCGGCCCCCUGGACUGAUACUGACACUCAGAUGCGAAAGCGUGGGGAGCAAACAGGAUUAGAUACCCUGGUAGUCCACGCCGUAAACGAUGUCUACUUGGAGGUUGUGGCCUUGAGCCGUGGCUUUCGGAGCUAACGCGUUAAGUAGACCGCCUGGGGAGUACGUCCGCAAGGUUAA
rnacentral:rRNA from 1 species